rnacentral:rRNA from 12 species
AAUAGCGUCUGUUCUUGGCUGUGCCUGGUUAGUACUUGGAUGGGAGACCAACUUGAAAGACCAGGGGCCGCUAUCC